rnacentral:rRNA from 1 species
GACGAACGCUGGCGGCGUGCCUAAUACAUGCAAGUAGAACGCUGAAGAGAGGAGCUUGCUCUUCUUGGAUGAGUUGCGAACGGGUGAGUAACGCGUAGGUAACCUGCCUUGUAGCGGGGGAUAACUAUUGGAAACGAUAGCUAAUACCGCAUAACAAUGGAUGACACAUGUCAUUUAUUUGAAAGGGGCAAUUGCUCCACUACAAGAUGGACCUGCGUUGUAUUAGCUAGUAGGUGAGGUAACGGCUCACCUAGGCGACGAUACAUAGCCGACCUGAGAGGGUGAUCGGCCACACUGGGACUGAGACACGGCCCAGACUCCUACGGGAGGCAGCAGUAGGGAAUCUUCGGCAAUGGGGGCAACCCUGACCGAGCAACGCCGCGUGAGUGAAGAAGGUUUUCGGAUCGUAAAGCUCUGUUGUAAGUCAAGAACGAGUGUGAGAGUGGAAAGUUCACACUGUGACGGUAGCUUACCAGAAAGGGACGGCUAACUACGUGCCAGCAGCCGCGGUAAUACGUAGGUCCCGAGCGUUGUCCGGAUUUAUUGGGCGUAAAGCGAGCGCAGGCGGUUUGAUAAGUCUGAAGUUAAAGGCUGUGGCUCAACCAUAGCUCGCUUUGGAAACUGUCAAACUUGAGUGCAGAAGGGGAGAGUGGAAUUCCAUGUGUAGCGGUGAAAUGCGUAGAUAUAUGGAGGAACACCGGUGGCGAAAGCGGCUCUCUGGUCUGUAACUGACGCUGAGGCUCGAAAGCGUGGGGAGCGAACAGGAUUAGAUACCCUGGUAGUCCACGCCGUAAACGAUGAGUGCUAGGUGUUGGAUCCUUUCCGGGAUUCAGUGCCGCAGCUAACGCAUUAAGCACUCCGCCUGGGGAGUACGACCGCAAGGUUGAAACUCAAAGGAAUUGACGGGGGCCCGCACAAGCGGUGGAGCAUGUGGUUUAAUUCGAAGCAACGCGAAGAACCUUACCAGGUCUUGACAUCCCGAUGCUAUUUCUAGAGAUAGAAAGUUACUUCGGUACAUCGGUGACAGGUGGUGCAUGGUUGUCGUCAGCUCGUGUCGUGAGAUGUUGGGUUAAGUCCCGCAACGAGCGCAACCCCUAUUGUUAGUUGCCAUCAUUCAGUUGGGCACUCUAGCGAGACUGCCGGUAAUAAACCGGAGGAAGGUGGGGAUGACGUCAAAUCAUCAUGCCCCUUAUGACCUGGGCUACACACGUGCUACAAUGGUUGGUACAACGAGUUGCGAGUCGGUGACGGCAAGCUAAUCUCUUAAAGCCAAUCUCAGUUCGGAUUGUAGGCUGCAACUCGCCUACAUGAAGUCGGAAUCGCUAGUAAUCGCGGAUCAGCACGCCGCGGUGAAUACGUUCCCGGGCCU